GUAGUUUUGGACAAAGAACAGGCAAUAUGCUAAUUCACUUGAUUAUUUACCUGGACAUUUUCAUUGUCAGCAUCGUCUGGGCCAGUUGAUGUAACCUAUGCUGAGAUUGACCUAAAAAAGAUGGUCAAAACCCAGAAGAAGAAAAAAUCAACAACCCACCAGAGUCAGAAUCAGUCUAUUCUCCAAUAAAGACAUUUCCAGACCACAGUAAGACUAGAUCACAUCUAUUAAAGGGUCCUUGAGGGAGAUGAACACAAUCAGUUGAGGAACAGGAACAACCAGGGAACAUGGAUGUGGUUUUUGUACCCACACUCUCCCUGUAAACACAGAAAUGUGACACAGACAUCACACACCCAGUCACAUAUGGACCACACACACAAUAAUGCCUUAUACAUGAAGGAUAUGUAUCAUACUAUGCUG